UACAGAGGUCUCAAGCGUUGUUCGGAUUCAUUGGGCGUAAAGGGUGCGUAGGCGGCGCGGUAAGUCGGGUGUGAAAUCUCGGAGCUUAACUCCGAAACUGCAUUCGAUACUGCCGUGCUUGAGGACUGGAGAGGAGACUGGAAUUUACGGUGUAGCGGUGAAAUGCGUAGAUAUCGUGAGGAAGACCAGUGGCGAAGGCGGAUCUCUGGACAGUUCCUGACGCUGAGGCGCGAAAGCCAGGGGAGCAAACGGG
rnacentral:rRNA from 1 species